rnacentral:rRNA from 1 species
AAUAGAUACCCAGGUAGUCCAUGCCGUAAACGUUGGGCACUAGGUGUGGGGCUCAUUCCACGAGUUCCGUGCCGCAGCAAACGCAUUAAGUGCCCCGCCUGGGGAGUACGGCCGCAAGGCUAAAACUCAAAGAAAUUGACGGGGGCCCGCACAAGCGGCGGAGCAUGCGGAUUAAUUCGAUGCAACGCGAAGAACCUUACCAAGGCUUGACAUACACCGGAAAAGUGCAGAGAUGUGCUCCCCGUAAGGUCGGUGUACAGGUGGUGCAUGGUUGUCGUCAGCUCGUGUCGUGAGAUGUUGGGUUAAGUCCCGCAACGAGCGCAACCCUCGUCCUAUGUUGCCAGCACGUGAUGGUGGGGACUCAUAGGAGACUGCCGGGGUCAACUCGGAGGAAGGUGGGGAUGACGUCAAAUCAUCAUGCCCCUUAGGUCUUGGGCUUCACGCAUGCUACAAUGGCCGGUACAAAGGGCUGCGAUACCGCGAGGUGGAGCGAAUCCCAAAAAGCCGGUCUCAGUUCGGAUUGGGGUCCGCAACUCCG